UUGGCCGAGUGGUCUAAGGCGCUGGCUUUAGGCGCCAGUCCGAAAGGGCGUGGGUUCGAACCCCACAG
rnacentral:tRNA from 1 species